GAAGCAGCCAUCAUUUAAAGAAAGCGUAAUAGCUCACUGGUCGAGUCGGCCUGCGCGGAAGAUGUAACGGGGCUAAACCAUGCACCGAAGCUGCGGCAGCGAACGUAUCACUUAAAGCGAUUCAGCGGAUGACGAUUGACGGAGCGAAGCGACGUCAAAGCGUAUACAAAGUCGAGUCGGUUUAAGGAUACGUUCGUUGGGUAGGGGAGCGUUCUGUAAGCCUGUGAAGGUGGCCUGUGAGGGUUGCUGGAGGUAUCAGAAGUGCGAAUGCUGACAUAAGUAACGAUAAAGCGGGUGAAAAGCCCGCUCGCCGGAAGACCAAGGGUUCCUGUCCAACGUUAAUCGGGGCAGGGUGAGUCGACCCCUAAGGCGAGGCCGAAAGGCGUAGUCGAUGGGAAACAGGUUAAUAUUCCUGUACUUGGUGUUACUGCGAAGGGGGGACGGAGAAGGCUAUGUUGGCCGGGCGACGGUUGUCCCGGUUUAAGCGUGUAGGCUGGUUUUCCAGGCAAAUCCGGAAAAUCAAGGCUGAGGCGUGAUGACGAGG
rnacentral:rRNA from 1 species